rnacentral:rRNA from 1 species
GACGAACGCUGGCGGCGUGCUUAACACAUGCAAGUCGAACGGAAAGGCCCUGCUUUUGUGGGGUGCUCGAGUGGCGAACGGGUGAGUAACACGUGAGUAACCUGCCCUUGACUUUGGGAUAACUUCAGGAAACUGGGGCUAAUACCGGAUAGCAGCUCCUGCUGCAUUGUGGGGGUUGGAAAGUUUCGGCGGUUGGGGAUGGACUCGCGGCUUAUCAGCUUGUUGGUUGGGUAGUGGCUUACCAAGGCUUUGACGGGUAGCCGGCCUGAGAGGGUGACCGGCCACAUUGGGACUGAGAUACGGACCAGACUCCUACGGGAGGCAGCAGUGGGGAAUAUUGCACAAUGGGCGGAAGCCUGAUGCAGAAACGCCGCGUGCGGGAUGACGGCCUGCGGGUUGUAAACCGCUGUAGCCUGUGACGAAGCGUGAGUGACGGUAAUGGGUAAAGAAGCACCGGCUAACUACGUG